rnacentral:rRNA from 1 species
UACGUAGGGUGCGAGCGUUGUCCGGAAUUAUUGGGCGUAAAGGGCUCGUAGGCGGUUUGUCACGUCAGGAGUGAAAACUCGGGGCUUAACCCCGAGCCUGCAGUGGAUACGGGCAGACUAGAGGUAGGUAGGGGAGAAUGGAAUUCCCGGUGUAGCGGUGAAAUGCGCAGAUAUCGGGAGGAACACCGGUGGCGAAGGCGGUUCUCUGGGCCUUACCUGACGCUGAGGAGCGAAAGCGUGGGGAGCGAACAGG